rnacentral:tRNA from 1 species
GUCCCUGUAGCAGAAUCAGGCAGAUGCGCCGGUCUCAAAAACCGGGUCUUAUGUGGGUUCGAGUCCCACCAGGGAUAC